UACAGAGACUGCAAGCGUUAUUCGGAUUCACUGGGCGUAAAGGGUGCGUAGGCGGUCGGGUAAGUCUGAUGUGAAAUCUCCAAGCUUAACUUGGAAAUGGCAUCGGAUACUAUUCGGCUCGAGGAAUGGAGGGGAGACUGGAAUACUUGGUGUAGCAGUGAAAUGCGCAGAUAUCGUGAGGAACACCAGAGGCGAAGGCGGCUACCUGGAUAAUUGCUGACGCUCAGGCACGAAAGCGUGGGGAGCAAAAGGG
rnacentral:rRNA from 1 species